AUGAAGGAGACGGCGGAGGAUCUACUCGCUCGUCUCACCUUGCAGGAAGAAGAAGAGGACGACUUUGUCUGGGAGGAAGAACUACCAGAUCAGAUGGAGCCGACGAAGUGGCUGGCAAUCGCGAGGGUGCAUACGCCAAAAACGUUCAGCCCUAAUGCACUGUAUGGUGACAUGAGAGCGGCCUGGAAUCCGGCCAAAACGGUUGUAUGGAGGAGGAUCAAGGAGAAUCUGUUUACGGCACAAUUUGGCUGCCUUGCUGAUUGGAAAAAAGCCAUGCUUGAAGGACCAUGGCUAUUCCGAGACCAAGCGGUGAUCCUAGAGGAAUAUGAUGGUUUCAAAAGCCCAGACUCGUUCAAGCUGGAUAAGAUUGAAGUAUGGGCUCAGAUCCACCGCCUACCGGAUAACUUUCUGAUUGAGUCGGUUGUGAAGGGGAUGGCGUCACGGAUUGGUGAGGUGAUGGAGGUGCAGCUGAAAUUGCCUGCUGGUUUCUUCGGUGAAUUCGUAAGAGUCAGGAUCAAGAUUGAUGUGAAUGCAAAAAUCAAAAGAUUUGUGACAGCAAGGAAAGCCGCUUCUGGUUCGAUGGGGAGAUCGCAGGAAGAUGAAGGGGAAGAUGAUGUGCCCAAUCCACACCAAAGUGAGCAAACACAGGCUCAAAUUCAGAAGCAGAAGGGUCGUAUCCCGGAAGGUCUUGAUCUGGUAAAAGUGACCAAAAGCACAAUGGUGGACAUGCAUAAUGAGACUGCAGGGAUGUCGCUCAAAUGUUUCUCGGCGGACAGCAUCAUUGCUCCUAGUUCGGGGCCAGCUGAUAAGGCAGAAGGAGGGAAAACUACAGAGGGGGUGGUAACAGCACUUGUGGCUGCGGAAACCCCAAAGGGAGUACCUCCUCCACCUCCAGUGUAUGUUUCCCCGAGGAAGGAAGUUAAGAGGCCAAAGAAGGGCGAUGGCAAAUGCAGGAGUCUGGAUAUUGAUGCGGGAGGCAGUGGCGAAGUGAUUAGUGAUGACAGAAUGAAAGGAUGGACACCAAGAUUGGCUUCCUCUCGCCAGCGCUGGGGCUGUGAGGAGCAUGAAGUAUUCCCGCCUCAUGUUAUUGCUAGAGUAAUCUUUGGGAGCCUUGGCGCAGUGGUAAAGCUGCUGCCUUGUGACCAUGAGGUCAUGGGUUCAAGUCCUGGAAACAGCCUCUUACAGAAAUGUAGGGAAAGGCUGCGUACUAUAGACCCAAAGUGGUCGGACCCUUCCCUGGACCCUGCGCAAGCGGGAGCUACAUGCACCAGGCCCAAGGAACUCCGCCCGCUCCUGCAGGAGAAGAAGCUGUACGCCUUUGUUGGCUUCUGCAUUGGAGGCGACAAGGAGAAGCUGAAGUUGUCUGGUUUGGAGAUCAACCCCGACAAGUACGUCGACUUGCAGCGCAAAUGGAGAGUUCCAAACUAUGGAAAGAAGUGGCAGUCUUUGGCUGAGUUUGCAGCCAGCCUCAUCCACCCAUCCUACUCAAAAAUGAAGCAGAAGAUCGAUAGGAAUUCGGACCACCUACUAUGGGGGGACAGCCCACUGCCAAACAAGCUCAUCGAGUACGUCGCGAAAGAUGCGUACGUCAACUACGAGGCAUGGAAGAAAAUUGAAAUCACCAAAGAAGGUUUGGAGCUCUGGCAAGAGGCGGAGGAUCAUUGGGAUGACCCCUACUACUGGGGAUAUUGA
rnacentral:rRNA from 1 species